rnacentral:lncRNA from 1 species
GCACAUAUCCACAAGAUAAACAAAACAUUAACAUGAGAUAAUACUCCUCUUUCACUUAAUCAACUAUAUAUGUAUAAUCCCAAACUAGUUAGGAUUGAGUAAUUCAUGUUAGUUAUGCUUGAUAAUAGUAGCAAGAUUUAGAAUAGAUGUUGACCUCAGUCUCGAAUUCCAAGCAAGGAACCCAUCCAUUUUUCAAAAGGUACUCAACUUCCCUAAGCAAUUGCUCCACGCUCAAAUCAGGAAGGUAUGAGAGAGUCUCGUACUUCUUCUUGUUAAUUGGUGGCCACACCUACAUAUAUAUUCCACAUAAAAAAUUUACGGUACAAGUAUGGAAUAUAACAUUUUCAAUCUAAUAUUGGGGUGUCAAUGAAUUUUGUGAUCUUCUAUGCAUAUACUCAAUCCGUUUCAAUUUAGAUAAUUUAGCUUGACUUGACACAAAGUUUAAGAAAAAAAAAAUAUUUAAAAAAUUUGUGAUCCUAAAAGCUUAAGGGGCAAAAGGUUUGUGGGACCAUGCCAUUUGUAUGAUUAUAAAAGCUUAAAGCGGAUAAAAUGAAAAGUUUAAAGUUAAAUUGUUUUUAAAUUUGGAAACGUGUCAUUCUUUUUUUAACGGACUAAUAGGAAAAUUGUGUAAUUUAAAUUGAAAUGGAGGGAGUAAUAUAUUUGGUGAAAUUAAGGCACAUAGUAUAGUGCCUUAAUUACAAGUAAUCAUCGACAAAAAAUAAGAUAGGGUACCUGCUAAAGCUAAAACAGGUUAAGAUACACUAAGUUCAAUCCAGAUAUUAUAUACUUCUAGUACAAACCUGCAUGCAUUGAACUCUUCCGCCGUUGCUAGCAAUGGAAGUAAUGUCAAGGUUUUGUUUCCUGGAAACAGGGAAGGAGGUUGCGGACUUGAGACCAGUGAAGGGUGCAACCAUACUGGCUUGAGCAGCAUUGGCGCCGGUCGCAACAGCGGCAGCUGAGGACAUAACUGAGGAAG